rnacentral:rRNA from 1 species
UACGAAGGGUGCAAGCGUUACUCGGAAUUACUGGGCGUAAAGCGUGCGUAGGUGGUUCGUUAAGUCUGAUGUGAAAGCCCUGGGCUCAACCUGGGAAUGGCAUUGGAAACUGGCGACCUAGAGUGCGGUAGAGGGUAGCGGAAUUCCCGGUGUAGCAGUGAAAUGCGUAGAGAUCGGGAGGAACAUCUGUGGCGAAGGCGACUGCCUGGACCAGCACUGACACUGAGGCACGAAAGCGUGGGGAGCAAACAGG